CUACACAGAAGAAUAGCACCUCGAACGACAGAUUAGAUACAGAUAUCCAUGGAACAAAUCAUCUGAAAACUAAGAGAGGAUGAAGAAUACUUCUGUUGAAAAGUUGAAGUAACUGAUGAGCAGAUCAAUCCAACUUGAACAUGAUAUCAUUUCUCCAAGGAUGAAAACAAGUCUCUCUGUACUCAAGCAUUGAUAUUUUUAAAGCCAACAGGAAC